UACGUAGGGGGCAAGCGUUGUCCGGAAUCAUUGGGCGUAAAGCGCGUGUAGGCGGCCCGAUAAGUCCGCUGUGAAAGUCCAGGCUCAACCCUGGGAUGCCGGUGGAUACUGUCGGGCUCGAGUCCGGAAGAGGCGAGUGGAAUUCCUGGUGUAGCGGUGAAAGUGACGCAGAUAUCAGGAGGAACACCAAUGGCGAAGGCAGCUCGCUGGGACGUGACUGACGCUGAGACGCGAAAGCGUGGGGAGCAAACAGG
rnacentral:rRNA from 1 species